UACCGCUUCCACGGUCUGCCCGUGAUGCCGUCGUAAGAACCGACGGCCCAUUAGUCUAGUACCCAUUUUUUUUUAUCUUCGCUUCGAACGGGAGGCCAUACAUUACCCCCCUACCGUCGCGGAUCGCGACGCCGAGUUCCAGCUCGCUCUGUUGACACGUUCCGCGCCGGACCGAUCUUUGAGACUUUCAGGUCGUGUGGGGCGUACGACAGUUUUACGAUUAAAUAAAAUUAAAUAAAGGUUUCAUUCAGCGUUCGAUGUUUAUCAUAGCGCUGGGGUUAUGUGAGGUUAGGAGAGCUUGAAACAAUAACAAUCGCUUGACAGCGUUACAGAAGAACGGACAGAGAAACGAAGAUUAUUACCGCGAAGGGUAUCCGCUGGACGUCAAGGCGUGCGCGCACGGCGCUGAAAAUAUGUCAAGGAAUUACUCAGGGAAUUGGCCCGGCAGAAGCUCAAGGCUCGGACCCAUCCAGCCGCAAUUUCUCUCGGUUUUAACGGCGUCGUUUUAACAUUAGAACUACCGAGCAAUUAGAGUGACUUAUUUCCAAGUUCCUAUACAAAUUAGAACAGCAUGUUCUUUGAGCUCUGAAGGGUUUCCUAGUCUUAUGUCUGUACCAGUACACAAGUUUUCAUUUCAAAUCUGCAAUGACACCAUAAUUUAACACUAAAUUUACGGAACGAGUCAGUAUGACUCAUAUUGAAUUCUAUAAACACUGGUAAAUGGUUGGCUCGAUUUUGUUUGAUGCAAUGGCGCUCUGACGAUCUAGUUGUCUACUUUUAACCCUUUGAACU